rnacentral:tRNA from 1 species
GGGGUUGUGGCUCAGCAGUAGAGCACUCGUCUAGCAAGUGCAGGGCUCUGAGUUCAAUCCUCAGCACCACA